rnacentral:lncRNA from 1 species
CUCAUCUAAGUUCAUUUGUGUUCUCCGUUUUGCUCCUGCCUGUUUCUGAUCUACGCACACACGUGACAAAAUACAGAGAUCUUACCAAUUGUGCUUUUCUUUUGUAGAACGUUGGCUCAGCAUAAGUGAUCAUUUCUUCACAAGUCUGAACUGCAGCAAUAGAUGAAAUAGGUGCAUUAAAUAGCCAAUCUUAACUAGAUCUGUUUCUUUACAACAUAUGUAUCAUUAUCAAGGCUCAAAUUUUCUUGCAGAUGCAACACGUCACGACUGCAGCUACAAUCAACAGAGCUCCAGCAGCAGCAGAAAUCAGCACUAUGUACAAUAAAGAUGCAACACAUCACAACUGCAGCUACAAUCAACAGAGAUCCUGCAGCAGAGAUCAACACUAUGUACAAUAAAGGGUCCCGCGUGUUGAGCUGUGAUGUUUGUGAUGGUCAGAGAUCCAGUUUGAUUGUCCAGCUUCAGUCUGUCUCUGAAUCUCCCAUCAGGAACAUCAGAUGUGAAGAUUCCAUAAACUCCGCUGAUUUCAGCUAUCAUAGAUCCAAAUUUCCACACAUCCUACACAUUUUCGGUCCAAGCCUGAUGCAGAGAAGUUCUGCUGGGAUGGGAGGUUCGAAUAUCCUUGCUGCAGUUUCACCAGUGCAGAGAAUCAGAUGAAGCAAGAUGUCUUUUUUUAUUCUUCUUUGAGCAUACGGAGGACCUGUACACAUUCAGA